AUGUUUAAACCCCACCUGUGUAUUUACCUGUUGCUUCCGUGCUGCACACGCUGCAAAGCGUGUCUCCGGGUCCGGGACCGCGAGUGGCUCCCCGGACCGUGGGGAGUCGGCACGUGUGGUUUACCGUAAACUCUAGCCUUUGAAUGCCUUCCGUCUGAACUGUAGCGCGCAAAAUGUUUAAAAACUUUCAACAACGGAUCUCUUGGUUCUCGCAUCGAUGAAGAACGCAGCGAAAUGCGAUAAGUAGUGUGAAUUGCAGAAUUCCGUGAAUCAUCGAAUCUUUGAACGCACAUUGCGCCUUCCGGUAUUCCGGGAGGCAUGCCUGUUCGAGCGUCACUAAAAAAUCAACUCGUGCAAGCCAACCUUGCAUGGUCAUGGAGGAAGAGUUCUGCCUUGUUCCGCGAUCUCCCCUCCGAAAAUCAAGGGCGCAAAUACACUGGUUCUCGGCGUAGUACUAUCGUUCGUCGAUCAUCCACUGUCGUUGCCGCGCCAAACCCCCACAAUUUUUUUUGAUUGACCUCGGAUCAGUAGGGGAUACCCGCUGAACUUAAACAUAUCAAUAN
rnacentral:misc_RNA from 1 species